AAUGCUGUCACAUUCAAUUGGCUGUCCAGUUUUGGUAUAAAAGAGUGUGCGUUUGGUCACUUAAUUGCUGGUGCAUAUUUGGAAAAUUUUUAGGGGAUAUUGAAGCAGUCAAUUCUCAUUAUGGUGACUUUUCAAAUGGACCAAGAGUAACUCUUCAAGUCUGACCGGUUUCAUGCACUCAAAGCUAGUAAUGGUGCCAAUUAAAGAGAUGAAUACAGAAGCAUUAAGGCAUUUGGUUAAGGGGAAAAUGAAGGAGCAUCAAGCAGAACAUUUAAAGGACCAUUAAGCCUUCAUCAAGUGAAAAGGCAUGACUUUUCAGCUAUGCAUUAAUCAAGUGAAAAGACAUGACUCUUUGGUUGUCCAUUAAGAGUUAUAACCGAAU
rnacentral:lncRNA from 1 species